GAAGCCAUAGCAAGAAGCAGUGAAAGCCACAGCAGAGAUUGGAUGCAGCAUAAUUUUUUCUAUGUCUCGGCGCCUCUAUGGAUGUCAUAUUUAGAUCAGAUGCAAUCUGAGCCUUGUUCUGAAUUUCAAAAUCCCCUUUGACAACACCUGCACAGCUGAGCAAUCAAGGGCCUAGGGAUCCGGGUU